rnacentral:rRNA from 1 species
UACGGAGGAUGCGAGCGUUAUCCGGAUUUAUUGGGUUUAAAGGGUGCGUAGGCGGGCUUUUAAGUCAGCGGUAAAAAUUCGGGGCUCAACCCCGUCCGGCCGUUGAAACUGGGGGCCUUGAGUGGGCGAGAAGAAGGCGGAAUGCGUGGUGUAGCGGUGAAAUGCAUAGAUAUCACGCAGAACCCCGAUUGCGAAGGCAGCCUUCCGGCGCCCUACUGACGCUGAGGCACGAAAGUGCGG